AAUGAACGCUGGCGGCGUGCUUAACACAUGCAAGUCGAACGGUGAAGCAGGAGCUUGCUCUUGUGGAUCAGUGGCGAACGGGUGAGUAACACGUGGGCAACCUGCCCCUGACUCUGGGAUAAGCGCUGGAAACGGCGUCUAAUACUGGAUAUGUGAUGUGACCGCAUGGUCUGCAUCUGGAAAGAAUUUCGGUUGGGGAUGGGCUCGCGGCCUAUCAGCUUGUUGGUGAGGUAAUGGCUCACCAAGGCGUCGACGGGUAGCCGGCCUGAGAGGGUGACCGGCCACACUGGGACUGAGACACGGCCCAGACUCCUACGGGAGGCAGCAGUGGGGAAGAUUGCACAAUGGGCGGAAGCCUGAUGCAGCAACGCCGCGUGAGGGAUGACGGCCUUCGGGUUGUAAACCUCUUUUAGCAGGGAAGAAGCGAAAGUGACGGUACCUGCAGAAAAAGCACCGGCUAACUACGUGCCAGCAGCCGCGGUAA
rnacentral:rRNA from 1 species